AAGUGUUUCAAGUUGUAUCUGCACAUACUAAACAAGAACUCACUUCCUCAUUCAAGAGAUGGAGCAAGGCAUUCGUCUACCAUGUCGACAAGGUUAGGGUUUUCCAAUGCUGCAGCGACUCGUUCUUUAUCAUUCAACUGCUUAUUUACUGCAGCUUCCGUAGCAUGAGUCCCAGGUUCUACUCUAAUAUCCACCUUAUAACGUGAAGGCAAACAUCGCAUAAGUUUCACACGUAAACAUAAUCCAAU
rnacentral:misc_RNA from 1 species